rnacentral:tRNA from 1 species
AUUCUUUUAAAACAUAUUGGGACGUAAAUCACUUCCUUUU